rnacentral:rRNA from 1 species
UCCACGCCGUAAACGAUGGUCACUAGUUGUUGGGUUUUAGGAUUCAGUGAUUAAGAGAAAUUGAUAAGUGACCCACCUGGGGAGUACGAUCGCAAGAUUGAAACUCAAAGGAAUUGACGGGGGCCCGCACAAGCGGUGGAGCAUGUGGUUUAAUUCGAUGAUACGCGAGGAACCUUACCAGGGCUUAAAUGUAGGUUGCAUUAGCUAGAGAUAGUUAUUUCUUCGGACUACUU